GAUUUUUAUACGACCGCAAAAUUUGAAAAAAUUUUUCGUCGUAUAUUGCUAUCACGUUGGCGUCGUCGUCUGCGUCGUCGUCCGAAUACUUUUAGUUUUCGCACUCUAACUUUAGUAAAAGUGAAUGGAAAUCUAUGAAAUUUUAACACAAGGUUUAUGACCACAAAAGGAAGGUUGGUAUUGAUUUUGGGAGUUUUGGUCCCAACAUUUUAGGAAUUAGGGGCCAAAAAGGGCCCAAAUAAGCAUUUUCUUGGUUUUCGCACUAUAACUUUAGUUUAAGUUAAUAGAAAUCUAUAAAAUUUUGACACAAGGUAUAUGACCACAAAAGAACAGUUGGGAUUGAUUUUGGGAAUUUUGGUUUCAACAGUUUAGGAAUUAGGGGCCAAAAAAGGGCCCAAAUAAGCAUUAUUCUUGGUUUUCGCACAAUAACUUUAGUUUAAGUAAAUAGAAAUCAAUGAAAUUUAAACAAUGACUACAAAAGGAAGGUUGGUAUUGAUUUUGGGAGUUUAGGUCCCAACAGUUUAGGAAUUAGGGGCCAAAAAGGGACCCAAAUAAGCAUUUUUCUUGGUUUUCGCACCAUAACGUUAGUAUAAGUAAAUAGAAAUCUAUGAAAUUUAAACACAAGGUUUAUGACCAUAAAAGGAAGGUUGGUAUUGAUUUUGGGAGUUUUGGUCCCAACAGAAUAAGGGGCCCAAAGGGUCCAAAAUUAAACUUUGUUUGAUUUCAUCAAAAUUGAAUAAUUGGGGUUCUUUGAUAUGCCAAAUCUAACUGUCAUGACUGUGUAUGUAGAUUCUUAACUUUUGGUCCCGUUUUCAAAUUGAUCUACAUUAAGGUCCAAAGGGUCCAAAAUAAAACUUAGUUUGAUUUUGACAAAAAAUGAAUCAGUUAGGGUUCUUUGAUAUGCUGAAUCUAAAAAUGUACUUAGAUUCUUGAUUAUUGGCC
rnacentral:lncRNA from 1 species